rnacentral:rRNA from 1 species
CCUACGGGCGGCAGCAGUGAGGAAUAUUGGUCAAUGGGCGCGAGCCUGAACCAGCCAAGUCGCGUGAGGGAAGACGGUCCUAUGGAUUGUAAACCUCUUUUGUCGGGGAGCAAAAGACGCCACGCGUGGCGUUCCGAGAGUACCCGAAGAAAAAGCAUCGGCUAACUCCGUGCCAGCAGCCGCGGUAAUACGGAGGAUGCGAGCGUUAUCCGGAUUUAUUGGGUUUAAAGGGUGCGCAGGCGGAAGAUCAAGUCAGCGGUAAAAUUGAGGGGCUCAACCUCUUCGAGCCGUUGAAACUGGUUUUCUUGAGUGGGCGAGAGGUAUGCGGAAUGCGUGGUGUAGCGGUGAAAUGCAUAGAUAUCGCGCAGAACUCCGAUUGCGAAGGCAGCAUGCCGGCGCUCAACUGACGCUCAUGCACGAAAGUGUGGGUAUCGAACAGGAUUAGAUACCCCGGUAGUC